CUCUCCAGCCGCAGUGACCCUGCGCUCCUCCUCUGCUGGACAGGGCGGCCGCUGCUGGAGCAACAAGCAGGCGGGACUCACUCACACACACUGGGGGACCCACUCAGUGAGCGACGAGCUAAUCCCUGACAGCGAGCUGCUUCUGGGUUCAGCAGGAGUAAAGAUGGGGAGCAUGUAUAAGGACGAGAAGGACGACUGGGUGACGGUGUGUCUGAAGUACCUCCUCUUCGUCUUCAACUUUCUCUUCUGGAUGGGUGGAGGUGUGGUGAUGGGCGUGGGGAUCUGGACUUUAAUUGAUAAAGGGGACUACCUGAGCCUGCUGGCCUCCAGCACCUUUGCUGUCUCAGCCUACAUUCUCAUCCUUGCCGGGGCACUAGUCAUGGUCACUGGAUUUCUGGGCUGCUGUGCGGUCAUCCGUGAACAGAGAAGCCUCUUGUCCACGUACUUCUCCUGUUUGCUGCUGAUAUUCCUGAUUGAGCUCAUUGCAGGAGUUUUAGCAUAUGUGUAUUAUCAGAAGUUGAGCGACGAGCUGAAGCAGCACCUUAGCAAGACGAUGACGGCGAACUAUGCUCAGCCAGGGAAGGAAGGCAUCACUCAGGCGGUGGACCGACUGCAGCAAGAUUUCAAGUGCUGUGGGAGCAACAACUCCUUCGACUGGCAGCAAAGCGUAUACAUCAUGUCCCUAGAAUUGGAGAAAAGGUUGGUUCCUGACAGCUGCUGCAAGACCAUGACUCCACAUUGUGGCCGAAGAGACCACCCCUCCAACAUCUACAAAGUAGAGGGAGGCUGCAUCACUAAGCUGGAGCACUUCCUGGCUGACCACCUGCUCAUCAUUGGAGCUGUGGGGAUCGGUGUGGCCUGUCUACAGUUAGCGGGAGCACUGCUGACUGCAUGCUUUAUUUAUCUGCUUUAUAAAGAAGAGGAAGAAGACUUCUCUGACGUUUGAUUGACUAGUGCCACUAUUUGGCUCCUGAACAGCCAAGAGGGGACAAGGUCUGCAUUAUAUGUGGGAUGGUGUUUACCUGCUGCCUGCACAGACAGAUAAAGCUAGACCCGUACUGAGCGAUCCGCACGACGGUUACGGGUCACCCCAACUGCCUGCUGCCAGCCUGCACAGCCUUUCCUUUUUCUUUUCAAUGCCUAAACUGCAUGAAUGUGCCCUCUGCUCCAGAACAGACUGAAAUGGCGAGAUCCUCUCCCUUCUUUUAACACCUUGGCUUUCUAUUUCAGUCUGGUGGGUGAAGACACAUCAUGAAAAUGUUUAUGGCCAACUUUUUAUAAUGUGGGAGUCUCAGCAAGGAUGUAGCGGAACUAACCGAUUUACACAUGAAGGAGGCUUUCUAGUCUCGAUUUGGCCCAAAUUAAUUUUCAAAAAAAUAUGAAGUCUAUUUUUAUUCAGUGGCUCUGUAAGCUAUACUAUGGAUGCUUAUUUAACUCUGUGUCUAUGUUGGUAGCAGUUUUAAGACAUGUAAUCUUUAUGCUACUAGAUGUCAACUGGGCACAAGAACUGGACCAAUGUAGUAUAUCUGUUAGAAAAAUUCACUGUGGUAUUUUCUUAAAAAAAAAAAAAGUAAUAGACAUACUUUUUAAAAUGUAUUCAAGUAUUUUCACAUCAGUAGUUUCACAAGAAACUUGUAAUAAUCUCUCUAAAUGUGGUUUUGUUGUAAGGGAAGCAGCUGUGUACAGUGCACACUCACAUUUUCCACUGAGAAACGACUACUGAGAUACUGCAAGAGCAGCUUCUGUCCCAUAAUGCAUUUCAAAAACACCCUGGAUUCAGACAAAAGUGCCCUAAUAUGUGUCUGCAGAGCACUACUCACUGAUUAAUGAGUCAGUUUGGCAAAAAAGUGUAAUAUAGCUAUACCUUUUACUCCAAAUGUUUGUUGGCAAAAACAAGAUGUUUGCUUCUUUAGUUUUUCUCUAGGGCUGUAAAGCUAAUGUACCUAACAAGUAAUGCAAACUUGGCAAUUUAGCAGCUCAUCACUUCACAACCAUGCAAACUACAUCCCUAACUUAUCUCACCUGUCUCAAGCUGUGCCAUGUUAAGUAAUCUCAAACAGACUUGCUGAUGUUCUUUCUGACACUGUAUGACAUGCUGUUAUCUCCAGUAAUGGACAACGUGCACCAUAGCUAAAACCUGCAGUCGCAGAUAUCUUGAAGCCUGAAGGCUGUCCAUUCAUUUUUAUAGACAACAGUAUGUCAUACAGUGACAGAAACCACAUAUGUGAGUCAUUUUGAAAUUACUCAAAAACUCAAUGCUGCUUGAGGCAACAAUGUGAUGUAGACUUGUAGUUUGUAUGAUGCUGAUUGAUGGGAUGUCAUUCAUUUCAGAAUCAAACUUCAACACACUGAGACCCCAUUUACAUCUGGUCGUUAACUAUAGCAUAUCAUUAUGAAAACCCUUUGGUGAUACUCAGUAAAACUAAUCUUUGCCCUGUAAAACAUGAAUUAUGACCACUGUCUGUAUGACUACUGUUUAAAUGUUAUGUGUUUACUAACUCUGGAGCCUGAAGCUUUUGAUCAAAGAAAAUAUAGCCAGUCAUUUUAAAGCAGUGGGUUCAUUUUGCCUGGCAGUGGUCACUCAGUUGGCCAAGGGUGUUUUCUCCAGCUUAAGGCAGCUACACUGAAUCUGAUGGAAAGUUUGCGAUACCUAGCACAUUGGUGCAGCACAAAUAGAGACAGAUAGUGAGAUUCUAGUCGUAAAUAUGAUUUAUUGACUGGCAUUCAUUUUUUGACCCACUGACUGGUUUUUACAGACAUGCUUCAAACAAAAACUUAAAUAUUUAGCUGAAUAUAUAUUUAUAUAUAUAUAUAUUUUGAAGUAAGGUAUAUCAAUUCUUCCUGCUGGUGGUAUCCUCUAGGGUGGUGCCCCAGCACCCAUAAUGUAGAAAAUGUCCCACCUCUUAAGUUAAAUUUAGUAGCUUUGAACGGCCCAAGCUAAGAAAACAAAGAGCUCGUUUGGUUCAUUCACUGUCUUGCUACAAUGCAUAGCAUUUUAAUGCACGUUGUCCAUAACCGCCAUGACUACAGGGGGCUGAUUUCUCUUAUUUGGUGUAGAGCAAAGUUAAGAAAGUGAAUAAUGGCAUGCAACAUUGUGAUCUUUUGAACAGAGCUGGAACAGGAACAGCACAGGUGAUUGCUUAUUGUAUAUGAGCUGAUUUGUAUAUUACACACCAUAAUUGAAUUCCUGUCUGACUAACCAGAGGUUCACAUGGUGUAAACUAAUUUUAGAGUGAGAGAAAAAUUUACUGUAAUUGUAAAUUAGACUUUUUGUCAAUCACUGGCUAUAAUGAAUGAAUUCAUUCUAAUGAGUACUGUUCUAUAGACACAUCACAGAACUCCCACUUUCAGUCUCAUUUCAUGCUUUGGCAUCAUCACAAGGUACCAUGCCGAUCUUUAAAAUCUGUGUCCUGAUCCUGGUUCUUACUGGCUUUCUCAUGUCUUGUUCUAUGGUUUUGUGCAGUGUAUGUUCUGUUGGUACACCUUUAUUAUGUUCUAAUUACCUUUAUGUUCUAAUUAUGUUCUAAUUCACAUCUCUCAGUCAUGUCAAUUGAAUCCACGCUGUGCUAUGUUGAUGCAUUAACCUGCAGAGUACACUUUCCUUAUCUGUCAGAGAGGCCUUUAAUAGACCACUGCUGUCGAUAUUAUUAGGCCUGUUACAGCUACAAAGGCGCGGAGGUGUUAAAGAUGCGAGAUCUUCGUACUGUAGGUGUUAAACUCCUUCCAUUUAGAUUGAAUUGUUGAAUUCUUGUAUAAAAUCCUGAUAAGGAGAAAAUAUGCACCAUGGCCAGAGAUUAAAUGCAAAUAUUUUCUGCCAGCUCAUCCUGAGGUUACCACAGCAACCCAGUCCAACUGAAACUCAUUCUCAAUGCCACUUUUGCCUUCUGCUGUAAGCAGAUGAAUUUUCGGGCUAUUACAUUUAAUUUGGCCUGUAUGCACUGCGUUUUUAUGUUCUACAUGUAACUGAAGCAUGCUUGGACAACCAGACCUCUGUAGUAUUGGGUAUACUGUGUAAUCUGAUAUAAAUGGUAGCAUUAAUUACAGUUUAAGAUGUAGAUCUGCACUUCAUCUCAUUUAUAAUUCAUGACUGGGUGCAUAGAGUAUUUCAGUUGGGUACUAGCAUAUGCAUUAUAUGACAUGCAUUUUUUAUUUUUUUUCUCCGUCUGAAUGCGUGCUACAUCUGUUGCCUAAAUGCCUUAAGACAUGUGUGCUUGUUUGGAAGGGAAUAGUAGACCUGCUUUAUGCAGAUGCUGCAAACGCAUGUGCUAUAUUGAAUAUAUAUAUAUAUAUAUGCAUUUUUGAUACUGGAAGUAAAAUGUAUGUUUUGGGUAAAUAUAAGGAAUACCUAA